rnacentral:rRNA from 1 species
UACGUAGGGUGCAAGCGUUGUCCGGAAUUAUUGGGCGUAAAGAGCUCGUAGGCGGUUCGUCGCGUCGGCUGUGAAAUCCCGAGGCUCAACCUCGGGUCUGCAGUCGAUACGGGCGGACUGGAGUUCGGCAGGGGAGACGUGGAAUUCCGUGGUGGAGCGGUGAAAUGCGCAGAGUAUCGGGGAAGAACACCCGUGGCGAAGGCGGCACUCUCGGGAGCGGUACUGACGCUGAGACGCGAAAGCGUGGGGAGCGAACAGG